rnacentral:rRNA from 1 species
GUCGAGCGGCAGCGCGGGGCAACCUGGCGGCGAGCGGCGAACGGGUGAGUAACAUAUCGGAACGUAUCCUUAAGUGGGGGACAACCUAGCGAAAGUUAGGCUAAUACCGCAUACGCAGGGAACUGGAAAGUGGGGGAUCGCAAGACCUCACGCUUUUGGAGCGGCCGAUAUCAGAUUGGCUUGUUGGUGAGGUAAAGGCUCACCAAGGCUACGAUCUGUAGCUGGUCUGAGAGGAUGAUCAGCCACACUGGGACUGAGACACGGCCCAGACUCCUACGGGAGGCAGCAGUGGGGAAUUUUGGACAAUGGGGGCAACCCUGAUCCAGCCAUUCCGCGUGAGUGAAGAAGGCCUUCGGGUUGUAAAGCUCUUUUGUUCGGGACGAAACGGUUAAGGUUAAUAACCUUGACUAAUGACGGUACCGUAAGAAUAAGCACCGGCUAACUACGUGCCAGCAGCCGCGGUAAUACGUAGGGUGCGAGCGUUAAUCGGAAUUACUGGGCGUAAAGCGUGCGCAGGCGGUUAUAUAAGACAGUUGUGAAAUCCCCGGGCUCAACCUGGGAAUUGCAUCUGUGACUGUAUAGCUAGAGUACGGUAGAGGGGGAUGGAAUUCCGCGUGUAGCAGUGAAAUGCGUAGAUAUGCGGAGGAACACCGAUGGCGAA